rnacentral:rRNA from 1 species
AGAGUUUGAUCAUGGCUCAGGAUUAACGUUGGCAGUGCGCCUAACACAUGCAAGUCGAGCGAUAUAGCGGCAGACGAGAGAGUAAUAGUAAGGAACUUACCCCCGAGUGAAGGAUAGCCAGCCGAAAGGUUGGGUAAUCCUGCAUAAUAUCGAAAGAUCAAAGCCUUCGGGCGCUUGGGGAGAGGCCUUACUCCUAUCAGCUAGUUGGUGAGGUAAAAGGGCUCACCAAGGCGAUGACGGGUAGCUGGUCUGAGAGGAUGAUCAGCCUCGAUGGGACUGAGACACGGCCCAUACUCCUACGGGAGGCAGCAGUUGGGGAUUUUGCGCAAUGGAGGAAACUCUGAUGCAGCGACACUGCGUGAAGGAUGAAGGUUUUCGGAUCGUAAACUUCUUUUAGUGGGGAGUAAUCUUGAAAGUACCCACUGAAUAAGGACCGGCUAACUACGUG